GACGAACGCUGGCGGCGUGCCUAAUACAUGCAAGUCGAGCGGAACUGGGGGAGCUUGCUCCUUCCAGUUUAGCGGCGGACGGGUGAGUAACACGUGGGCAACCUGCCCUUCAGAUCGGGAUAACUCCGGGAAACCGGUGCUAAUACCGAAUCGUUUGUCGCCUCUCCUGAGGCUCUACGGAAAGCCUGUUUCGGCUGUCACUUCAGGAUGUGCCGGCGGCGCAUUAGCUAGUUGGUGGGGUAACGGCCCACCAAGGCGACGAUGCGUAGCCGACCUGAGAGGGUGACCGGCCACACUGGGACUGAGACACGGCCCAGACUCCUACGGGAGGCAGCAGUAGGGAAUCUUCCGCAAUGGACGCAAGUCUGACGGAGCAACGCCGCGUGAGUGACGAAGGUCUUCGGAUCGUAAAACUCUGUUGUGAGGGAAGAACACGUACCAACUAACUAUUGGUACCUUGACGGUACCUCACCAGAAAGCCACGGCUAACUACGUGCCAGCCGCCGCAGUAA
rnacentral:rRNA from 1 species